ACGAAUGAAAAUUGCCAAUAUACUUACAAGCAUACUGAAAUAUAAGAGAAAAUUAGAAACACAAGAAAGGAAAGAAAGCUAUAGGUAUAUCGCCCGCGAUAUGGCGAUUUUCAAGAAGGAUGGUACUGCUGUUCUCUUUGUCAUGUCUCUUAUGGUCAUAGCUAUGGUUCUCUCUUCCUGCCAAGCAGCUAUCCAUUUCAACUUGCACUGCGCCGACCUGCCAAAAUGCACUGAACAUGAAUGCAUGGCGGAUUGCCACCGCAGAGGUUUCCAGGUUGGUGUGGGACUAGUGGAUUGCAUGGAUGGACGGCCCGAUCAAUGUUGCUGCAGACAUGGGCUUCUUGAUCAUCGUGAUGACAAGUUAACGACUAAUUAAUUAGGCGAUGGAUUAAUUUCUCACAUGAGCAAUGUAUUAUUGUCAAUGAUUAAUUACAUGUGCAAUUAAUUGCUGCAAUGAGCUGAUCGAUCUCUUCGAUCUUAUUGCUAGCUCUUUUCAUGUAUGUGUCGAUCGAUCCACCUAGCUAUUUGAUGCGGACUCAAUAAACAAAGUUUACAUGGGAAGAAUUUGGCUCUCUAUAA